UACGUAGUGGGCAAGCGUUGUCCGGAAUCAUUGGGCGUAAAGAGCGUGUAGGCGGCCAGAAAAGUCCGCUGUGAAAACUCGAGGCUCAACUUCGAGCUGUCGGUGGAAACUUUCUGGCUAGAGUCCGGAAGAGGAGAAUGGAAUUCCUGGUGUAGCGGUGAAAUGCGCAGAUAUCAGGAGGAACACCGAUGGCGAAGGCAGGUCUCUGGGCCACUACUGACGCUGAGAAGCGAAAGCAUGGGGAGCGAACAGG
rnacentral:rRNA from 1 species